rnacentral:rRNA from 1 species
AGUGAACGCUGGCGGUAGGCCUAACACAUGCAAGUCGAACGGCAGCACAGUAAGAGCUUGCUCUUACGGGUGGCGAGUGGCGGACGGGUGAGGAAUACAUCGGAAUCUACUUUUUCGUGGGGGAUAACGUAGGGAAACUUACGCUAAUACCGCAUACGACCUACGGGUGAAAGCAGGGGAUCUUCGGACCUUGCGCGAUUGGAUGAGCCGAUGUCGGAUUAGCUAGUUGGCGGGGUAAAGGCCCACCAAGGCGACGAUCCGUAGCUGGUCUGAGAGGAUGAUCAGCCACAAUGGAACUGAGACACGGUCCAGACUCCUACGGGAGGCAGCAGUGGGGAAUAUUGGACAAUGGGCGCAAGCCUGAUCCAGCCAUACCGCGUGGGUGAAGAAGGCCUUCGGGUUGUAAAGCCCUUUUGUUGGGAAAGAAAAGCAGCAGGUUAAUACCCCGCUGUUCUGACGGUACCCAAAGAAUAAGCACCGGCUAACUUCGU